AUGUUGUGAUGAGGGCAUUUUUGUAAUAACUCAUUGAAUCACUCCCAUGCCUCACAUAAAGAUUUUUCGCAAAGUUUUUGAAAUGAAGUGAUUUCAUUUCAGAUCUU
rnacentral:snoRNA from 1 species